rnacentral:rRNA from 1 species
AUGGAUCACCACAUGUUCCAGCGAGCCACGAGAGUCCGGAUCGACGAUGGUCAGCAAGCAAGUUUCUCGACGAGCCCCUGGCUGGAUGCCGCUCCUCUGUGCUCAUCUUUCCCGGGCCUUUACAAACACUCCAGGCGCAAGAACCGCACAGGGGCUGCAACACCCACCAACGAGCAGUGGAUCGAAGACAUGUGCCACGGCAACACAACAUCCGUCAUCACCGAGUACCUGCAUCUUUGGCGGCGAAUCCAUCACUCAGGGAUCACCCUCGAGAACUAA